AAGUCGUAACAAGGUCUCCGUUGGUGAACCAGCGGAGGGAUCAUUAACGAGUUAUACAACUCAUCAACCCUGUGAACAUACCUAAACGUUGCUUCGGCGGGAACAGACGGCCCCGUAACACGGGCCGCCCCCGCCAGAGGACCCCCUAACUCUGUUUCUAUCAUGUUUCUUCUGAGUAAACAAGCAAAUAAAUUAAAACUUUCAACAACGGAUCUCUUGGCUCUGGCAUCGAUGAAGAACGCAGCGAAAUGCGAUAAGUAAUGUGAAUUGCAGAAUUCAGUGAAUCAUCGAAUCUUUGAACGCACAUUGCGCCCGCCAGUAUUCUGGCGGGCAUGCCUGUUCGAGCGUCAUUACAACCCUCAGGCCCCCGGGCCUGGCGUUGGGGAUCGGCGGAGCCCCCUGCGGGCACACGCCGUCCCCCAAAUACAGUGGCGGUCCCGCCGCAGCUUCCAUUGCGUAGUAGCUAACACCUCGCAACUGGAGAGCGGCGCGGCCACGCCGUAAAACACCCAACUUCUGAAUGUUGACCUCGAAUCAGGUAGGAAUACCCGCUGAACUUAAGCAUAUCAAUAG
rnacentral:rRNA from 1 species